rnacentral:rRNA from 1 species
CAGCCGCCGCGGGAAUACGAAGGGGGCUAGCGUUGUUCGGAAUUACUGGGCGUAAAGGGCGCGUAGGCGGCCAUUCAAGUUAGAUGUGAAAGCCCUGGGCUCAACCUAGGAAUUGCAUUUGAUACUGUUUGGCUUGAGUUCGGGAGAGGUGAGUGGAAUUCCCAGUGUAGAGGUGAAAUUCGUAGAUAUUGGGAAGAACACCGGUGGCGAAGGCGGCGACCUGGUCCUUGACUGACGCUGAGGCGCGAAAGCGUGGGGAACAAACAGGAUUAGAUACCCCUGUAGUCCCUGUCUCUUAUAC